rnacentral:rRNA from 1 species
CCUACGGGCGGCUGCAGUGAGGAAUAUUGGUCAAUGGCCGGAAGGCUGAACCAGCCAAGUCGCGUGAAGGACGACUGUGCCAAGGAUUGUAAACUUCUUUUGUCAAGGGACAAAAUCAGGCUCGUGAGCCUGAUUGCGGGUACUUGAUGAAAAAGCAUCGGCUAACUCCGUGCCAGCAGCCGCGGUAAUACGGAGGAUGCGAGCGUUAUCCGGAUUUAUUGGGUUUAAGGGGUGCGUAGACGGGUGGUUAAGUCAGCGGUAAAAGCCCGGGGCUAAACCCCGGAGGGCGGUUGAUACUGGCAGUCUUGAGAUGUCUAGAGGUAUGCGGAAUGCGCAGUGUAGCGGUGAAAUGCUUAGAUAUUGCGCAGAACUCCGAUUGCGAAGGCAGCAUACUAGCGUCUAACUGACGCUGAGGCACGAAAGCGUGGGUAUCAAACAGGAUUAGAUACCCUUGUAGUC